rnacentral:rRNA from 1 species
UGGGGAAUAUUGGACAAUGGGCGCAAGCCUGAUCCAGCCAUGCCGCGUGAGUGAAGAAGGCCUUCGGGUUGUAAAGCUCUUUUACCAGGGACGAUAAUGACGGUACCUGGAGAAUAAGCCCCGGCAAACUUCGUGCCAGCAGCCGCGGUAAUACGAAGGGGGCUAGCGUUGUUCGGAAUUACUGGGCGUAAAGCGCACGUAGGCGGAUUGUUAAGUCAGAGGUGAAAUCCCGGAGCUCAACUUCGGAACUGCCUUUGAUACUGGCAAUCUAGAGUCCGGAAGAGGUUAGUGGAAUUCCCAGUGUAGAGGUGAAAUUCGUAGAUAUUGGGAAGAACACCAGUGGCGAAGGCGGCUAACUGGUCCGGUACUGACGCUGAGGUGCGAAAGCGUGGGGAGCAAACAGGAUUAGAUACCCGUGUAGUCCCUGAGCGGGCUGGCAAGGCGCAU